rnacentral:miRNA from 1 species
AGCUUCCUCAUUGACCAGAGGAGAGUCCUUCCGGUUGAUGAGGAAGCUAUACCUCAUCAAUCAGAAGGGAGAAGCUAUACAUCAUCAACCGGAAGGGAUUCCUUCCGGUCAAUGAGGUUUAGCCUCCUCAUUGACUGGAAGGAAUCCCUUCUGGUUGAUGAGGAAGCU